AUUACGUGGAUAACUGUGGUAAUUCUAGAGCUAAUACAUGCAGCAAAGCCCAAGUAAAAAUGCUAUUUUGUGUAUAGUAAGUAAUUGCUGUAUAUAUGUAGUAUUUUGAUGGGCGCAUCUAUUAGACUAAAAUCAAUGAGGUAUAAUUGCUGUUGUCUAACGAUGACAGUGAUGUAAUAUACCUGUUAAUAUAUUGAUGACUCUGAAUAGCUAAGCUGAUCGCAUGGUGUUAUACCGGCGACAUGUCUAUCAAGUGUCUGCCUUAUCAACUUUCGAUGGUAGUUUAUAUGCCUACCAUGGUUGUAACGGGUAACGGAGAAUAAGGGUUCGACUCCGGAGAGGGAGCCUGAGAAACGGCUACCACAUCCAAGGAAGGCAGCAGGCGCGCAAAUUACCCACUCUCAGUAUGAGGAGGUAGUGACGAAAAAUAACAAAACCGUUCUCUAUGAGGCCGGUUAUUGGAAUGGGUACAAUUUAAAAACGUUAACGAGAAUCUAUGAGAGGGCAAGUCUGGUGCCAGCAGCCGCGGUAAUUCCAGCUCUCAAAGUGUAUAUCGUCAUUGCUGCGGUUAAAAAGCUCGUAGUUGGAUGUUCGCUUCAGAACUUGGUACACCAUUUUGUGGUGAUAACUAAGCUUCUAAGCUGUAUAAAUGCUGGUUGUUGUUCGUUUUGUUAAAAGACGACGACCUAUGUUGCUUUAAACGGUUGCAUAGGAUGGCUGGCAAGUUUACUUUGAAAAAAUUAGAGUGCUUAAUGCGGGCAAUUGUUUGCUUGAAUAUUUGUGCAUGGAAUAAUAGAAUAGGAUCUCGGUUCUAUUUUGUUGGUUUUCUGAUCUGAGAUAAUGGUUAAGAGAAACAGACGGGGGCAUUCGUAUCGCUACGUGAGAGGUGAAAUUCUUGGACCGUAGCGAGACGCACAACUGCGAAAGCAUUGCCAAGAAUGUG
rnacentral:rRNA from 1 species